GACAUCCAGCGAACUUGGCAGAGAUGCCUUGGUGCCUUCGGGAACGCUGAGACAGGUGCUGCAUGGCUGUCGUCAGCUCGUGUUGUGAAAUGUUGGGUUAAGUCCCGCAACGAGCGCAACCCUUAUCCUUUGUUACCAGCGAUUCGGUCGGGAACUCAAAGGAGACUGCCGGUGAUAAACCGGAGGAAGGUGGGGAUGACGUCAAGUCAUCAUGGCCCUUACGAGUAGGGCUACACACGUGCUACAAUGGCGCAUACAAAGAGAAGCGACCUCGCGAGAGCAAGCGGACCUCAUAAAGUGCGUCGUAGUCCGGAUCGGAGUCUGCAACUCGACUCCGUGAAGUCGGAAUCGCUAGUAAUCGUGGAUCAGAAUGCCACGGUGAAUACGUUCCCGGGCCUUGUACACACCGCCCGUCACACCAUGGGAGUGGGUUGCAAAAGAAGUAGGUAGCUUAACCUUCGGGAGGGCGCUUACCACUUUGUGAUUCAUGACUGGGGUGAAGUCGUAACAAGGUAAGCGUAGACGU
rnacentral:rRNA from 1 species